UACGGAGGAAAAGAAACCAACUGGGAUUACCUUAGUAACGGCGAGUGAAGCGGUAAAAGCUCAAAUUUGAAAUCUGGUACUUUCAGUGCCCGAGUUGUAAUUUGUAGAAUUUGUCUUUGAUUAGGUCCUUGUCUAUGUUCCUUGGAACAGGACGUCAUAGAGGGUGAGAAUCCCGUUUGGCGAGGAUACCUUUUCUCUGUAAGACUUUUUCGAAGAGUCGAGUUGUUUGGGAAUGCAGCUCAAAGUGGGUGGUAAAUUCCAUCUAAAGCUAAAUAUUGGCGAGAGACCGAUAGCGAACAAGUACAGUGAUGGAAAGAUGAAAAGAACUUUGAAAAGAGAGUGAAAAAGUACGUGAAAUUGUUGAAAGGGAAGGGCAUUUGAUCAGACAUGGUGUUUUUUGCAUGCACUCGCCUCUCGUGGGCUUGGGCCUCUCAAAAAUUUCACUGGGCCAACAUCAAUUCUGGCAGCAGGAUAAAUCAUUAAGAAUGUAGCUACUUCGGUAGUGUUAUAGCUUUUUGGAAUACUGUUAGCCGGGAUUGAGGACUGCGCUUCGGCAAGGAUGUUGGCAUAAUGGUUAAAUGCCGCCCGUCUA
rnacentral:rRNA from 1 species